rnacentral:misc_RNA from 1 species
UUUCCGUAGGUGAACCUGCGGAAGGAUCAUUAUUGGAUUUUGAAACUUCAGGCUGCUGCUGGCUCUCCUCGGAGGGCAUGUGCACGCUUGUUGUCCACUAUUUCUCCCACUGUGCACAAAUUGUAGACCUUUCAGUAGGCCUAUGUUGUUUUUCACAAUCUCUGAAUGUAAUAGAAUGGUUUUGAAUCUUGGGAAAUACAAUACAACUUUCAGCAACGGAUCUCUUGGCUCUC